CCCAACACCUGAUCCCGCAGCUCUAAAGGAUCGCCGCAUGGAAAACCUGGUAGCCUAUGCUAAGAAAGUGGAAGGGGACAUGUACGAGUCUGCCAACAGCAGGGAUGAAUAUUAUCACUUAUUAGCAGAGAAAAUCUACAAGAUACAAAAAGAACUAGAAGAAAAACGGAGGUCGCGUUUACAUAAACAAGGCAUCUUGGGGAACCAGCCAGCCUUACCAGCCCCGGGGGCUCAGCCACCUGUGAUUCCACAGGCACAACCUGUGAGACCUCCAAGUAAGGAUUUUAUUUCCUACUGCCAUCCCUUAGCCUGUUUCCUUGGUUUUCCUUCGUGUUUGGG
rnacentral:sRNA from 1 species